CCAGGCUUUCACUACACUGUAGGAGCUGUCACCAACUUCCUGCUCUCCUGCCACUUUGUACUGAAGGCACAGAAGUCCUUAGUCCUGAGCAUUCAUUUUAACCUAUUUAAGUGAAGACACUGCGCCCUCAUUCUCCAGGUUUUGGGCAAUUUCCACUUCCCUUCUGUCAUUGGCCAAGUGCUGUUCACUCUUUCCUAUCCCACACUUCCCCACUACCAGCGUGGGUCUGGGCCUGCCCUGUGCUUGGCCACAGAACUUUGGUAUUCUGUCUCCCUCCCCUUUUAGCAAUGUUAUCGUGUAACCCUGAAAAUAGAUUUUCCUAGGGAGCCAUCCAUUGAGAGAGAUGAAAAUGGAUAAUUGCUGGUGCUAGUGACUAAAUAUCUCUGUGGGAUUAAGUAAAAUCAGCUCCACAGGCUGACUGGAACUCCUGACGGUGUAUACUUUCACCAGACUGCACUAAAGGAGCACAAGACAGACUGGAUGCGGUAAGAAAUGGCCUCGAAGAGGAAAACCAACUUUUUAAUGCAAAGUCCUGAGACCUUUGACUGAACACAUAGCUACCAAGCCAGCACACUUCCUGGAAAAGAUCACAGGAUUCUUUGGCGCCCACCCUCUGCAGAGAUUCACUCUCACCACCAUUCACUGAAUUGUGGUGACUUGGUAACCUGGUUAGAAGCUGGCAUUCUAGCUCCUUGUCAACAGUAGAGUUCUGUUUAAUUAACAUAAAUAUAAGCUGUUAUGUCCUAGUAAGACAGCUCCUUUUCUCUAAAUUUAAAUCUCAACAAGAAAAUGUAUUUUGCUGCCAGCACCUUCUACGGCCAGUUUGACUCCUAGGGACUGUGCACAGAUACACAUCAGGAACCUGCCUGGGGGCGGGGGACGCAGCUCAGCUGUAGAGCACAAGCUCAGCUCCCACAAAACCUGGGUUCCAUCUUUAGCACCCAAAGAACACAAACAAAAAACCUGCCUAGUACAAGGAACUGUGCUGGGCUCAGCAGGGGAUCCAAAGAUGAAAAAGAUGUAGCUCCUGUCCUCAUGGAGCAUGUAAUCUAGAAAAAUUAUCAAAAUCAAGCCCUUGUGCCUUUUAGAAUUGGUAUGUUACGAAGUGAGAUUCCCUCAAUAUUAAAAAAUUCUAGCUACAUGCUAUAAUGUAUGAUUUGAAAUGAACAAAGUUAAGUUAUUCCUACUAAUGAAUUUUGGAUUAGUCAUCUAUUGAAGCUACCUAUCCAUUGCUUAAAUUCUAGAAUUAACUCCCACAAGAUCAAAUUUUUAUAUUUAAAAAAUAAUGAUGUAGCCAGACAUGGUAGCACACACCUGUAAUCCCACUUGGGAGGCUGAGGCAGGAGAAUCACAAGUUAGAGCCAAGCUGCAGCAAUCUAGAUGCUAUCUCAAAAUAAACAAAAAUAAUGAUGUAGAAGCCACAGAGAGGAAUACUACUUAGCAAUAAGAAGGAACAAACUACUGAUCCUGCAAACUUGGAUGACUCUCUUGGACAACUCUCAAGUGACUUAAAAAAACUAACCUCAAAAAAAGUUUACAAAUGCAAAUUCCCUUUAGAGACGGAGAAUAGUGACUGCCAGGGGGCAGGGAUGGUGAAGAGGAUGCAGUUCCAGGGACUCCUGUGAGGUUCUGGGGUCUACAUCCUGCAGAUGUAGAUGGUGGCUGCAUGAAUAUGUACAUGGGAUUAAAUGUCACAGAACUGCACAUACAAAGACACCGUACAUGCAGACCUGGUGGAAACUGGACAAGGACCACAGUCUAGAUUACUGUAUUUGUACCAAUGUCAAUUUCCUGGUGUUCAUAUCAAUCAAGCCACUGUAGGAAGCUGCAGGAGGAGUUC
rnacentral:lncRNA from 1 species